GACGAACCGUACGAACGUUAUUCGGAAUUACUGGGCGUAAAGCGUGCGCAGGCGGUUAUGUAAGACAGUUGUGAAAUCCCCGGGCUCAACCUGGGAACUGCAUCUGUGACUGCAUAGCUAGAGUACGGUAGAGGGGGAUGGAAUUCCGCGUGUAGCAGUGAAAUGCGUAGAUAUGCGGAGGAACACCGAUGGCGAAGGCAAUCCCCUGGACCUGUACUGACGCUCAUGCACGAAAGCGUGGGGAGCAAACAGG
rnacentral:rRNA from 1 species